rnacentral:rRNA from 1 species
AACGCGAAGAACCUUACCAGGCCUUGACAUCCCGAUGACCGGUCCGUAAUGGGACCUUCUCUUCGGAGCAUUGGAGACAGGUGGUGCAUGGUUGUCGUCAGCUCGUGUCGUGAGAUGUUGGGUUAAGUCCCGCAACGAGCGCAACCCUUAUCUUUAGUAGCCAGCAGUAAGAUGGGCACUCUAGAGAGACUGCCGGGGAUAACCCGGAGGAAGGUGGGGAUGACGUCAAAUCAUCAUGCCCCUUAUGACCAGGGCUACACACGUGCUACAAUGGCGUAAACAGAGGGAAGCGAGAUGGAGACAUGGAGCAAAUCCCAAAAAUAACGUCCCAGUUCGGAUUGUAGUCUGCAACCCGACUACAUGAAGCUGGAAUCGCUAGUAAUCGCGGAUCAGAAUGCCGCGGUGAAUACGUUCCCGGGUCUUGUACACACGC